AGCUUUGCGCAGUGGCAGUAUCGUAGCCAAUAAGAUUUAUCCGAGGCGCGAUUAUUGCUAAUAGAAUACUUUUGGUUUAAAUUUCUCUAAUUAAUCAACAAAACUCUCCACUGGUUU
rnacentral:snRNA from 1 species